GACGGAGGGUGCUAGCGUUGUUCGGAAUCACUGGGCGUAAAGGGCGCGUAGGCGGCCUCAGGUGUCGGAUGUGAAAGCCCGGGGCUCAACCCCGGAGGUGCAUCCGAAACUCUGGGGCUGGAGGUCGGAAGAGGAGGGUGGAAUACCCAGUGUAGAGGUGAAAUUCGUAGAUAUUGGGUGGAACACCGGUGGCGAAAGCGGCUCUCUGGUCCGGACCUGACGCUGAGGCGCGAGAGCGUGGGGAGCAAACAGG
rnacentral:rRNA from 1 species